UACGAAGGGGGCUAGCGUUGCUCGGAAUCACUGGGCGUAAAGGGUGCGUAGGCGGGUCUUUAAGUCAGGGGUGAAAUCCUGGAGCUCAACUCCAGAACUGCCUUCGAUACUGGCGAUCUAGAGUCCGGGAGAGGUGAGUGGAACUGCGAGUGUAGAGGUGAAAUUCGUAGAUAUUCGCAAGAACACCAGUGGCGAAGGCGGCUCACUGGCCCGGUACUGACGCUGAGGUGCGAAAGCGUGGGGAGCAAACAGG
rnacentral:rRNA from 1 species